rnacentral:rRNA from 1 species
CAGCAGCCACGGUAAUACGGAGGGGGCUAGCGUUGUUCGGAAUUACUGGGCGUAAAGCGCACGUAGGCGGCUUGGUAAGUUAGAGGUGAAAGCCCAGGGCUCAACCCUGGAAUUGCCUUUAAGACUGCCGAGCUAGUAGGUGAGAGAGGUAAGUGGAAUUCCGAGUGUAGAGGUGAAAUUCGUAGAUAUUCGGAAGAACACCAGUGGCGAAGGCGGCUUACUGGCUCAUUCUAGACGCUGAGGUGCGAAAGCGUGGGGAGCAAACAGGAUUAGAUACCCGUGUAGUCCCUGUCUCUUAUAC